GACGAACGCUGGCGGCGUGCUUAACACAUGCAAGUCGAACGGUAAGGCCCUUUCGGGGGUACACGAGUGGCGAACGGGUGAGUAACACGUGGGUGAUCUGCCCUGCACUUUGGGAUAAGCCUGGGAAACUGGGUCUAAUACCGGAUAGGACUACGCGAUGCAUGUCGUGUGGUGGAAAGCUUUUGCGGUGUGGGAUGGGCCCGCGGCCUAUCAGCUUGUUGGUGGGGUGAUGGCCUACCAAGGCGACGACGGGUAGCCGGCCUGAGAGGGUGUCCGGCCACACUGGGACUGAGAUACGGCCCAGACUCCUACGGGAGGCAGCAGUGGGGAAUAUUGCACAAUGGGCGCAAGCCUGAUGCAGCGACGCCGCGUGGGGGAUGACGGCCUUCGGGUUGUAAACCCCUUCCAGCACAGACGAAGCGUAAGUGACGGUAUGUGCAGAAGAAGCACCGGCCAACUACGUG
rnacentral:rRNA from 1 species